AUUGAACGCUGGCGGCAUGGCUAAAGCAUGCAAGUCGAACGAAACUCGUAGCAAUACGGGAAAAGUGGCGGAAGGGUCAGUAAUACGAUUGAACGUACCCCGAGGUGGUGGAUAGGCAUGGGAAACUGUGCGUAAUACACCAUGAUCUCUCCGGAGCAAAGCCGCAAGGCGCCUUGGGAGCGGCGAUCGUCCUAUCAGCUAGUUGGUGAGGUAAUGGCUCACCAAGGCGAAGACGGGUAGCGGGUGUGAGAGCACGGCCCGCGACAUCGAAACUGAGACACUGUUCGGACUCCUACGGGAGGCUGCAGCGACGAAUCUUCCGCAAUGGGCGAAAGCCUGACGGAGCAAUGCCGCGUGUGGGAUGAAGCGGCUACGCCGUGUAAACCACUGUCAGGUGAUAAAAACACUGAUUGUCACCAGAGGAAGGGCCGGCUAACCCUGUGCCAGCAGCCGCGGUAAUACAGGGGGCCCGAGCGUUAAUCGGAAUCACUGGGCUUAAAGGGUGCGUAGGCGGAUCAGGAAGUGUUUCGUGAAAACCCCCGGCUCAACCGGGGAACUGCGGGGCAAACUCCUGAUCUUGAGGGAAGUAUGGGCGGACAGAACUGUCGGUGGAGCGGUGAAAUGCGUAGAUAUCGAUAGGAAUGCCGAUGGCGAAGGCGGUCCGCUGGGCUUCUCCUGACGCUCAGGCACGAAAGCGUGGGGAGCAAACAGGAUUAGAUACCCUGGUAGUCCACGCCGUAAACGAUGCGCACUAGACCGGUGCGGCUCUGACGCCGUAUCGGUCGCAGUAAAAACGCUAAGUGCGCCGCCUGGGGAGUACGGUCGCAAGGCUA
rnacentral:rRNA from 1 species